rnacentral:rRNA from 1 species
AAUGACAGCCAUAUCACCCUGCAGCCCAAGACUGGUUGCCCACUGAAGCUAAGCAGGGCUGAGCCUGGUCAGUACCUGGAUGGGAGACCUCCUGGGAAAACUAAGUUGCUGCUGGAA